rnacentral:rRNA from 1 species
CGAAGGGGGCUAGCGUUGCUCGGAAUUACUGGGCGUAAAGGGCGCGUAGGCGGACAGUUUAGUCAGAGGUGAAAGCCCAGGGCUCAACCUUGGAAUUGCCUUUGAUACUGACUGUCUUGAGUUCGGGAGAGGUGAGUGGAAUGCCGAGUGUAGAGGUGAAAUUCGUAGAUAUUCGGCGGAACACCAGUGGCGAAGGCGACUCACUGGCCCGAUACUGACGCUGAGGCGCGAAAGCGUGGGGAGCAAACAGGAUUAGAUACCCUGGUAGUCCACGCUGUAAACGACGAGUGCUAGUUGUCGGCAUGCAUGCAUGUCGGUGGCGCAGCUAACGCAUUAAGCACUCCGCCUGGGGAGUACGGUCGCAAGAUUA